rnacentral:tRNA from 1 species
UCUCCUGUAGCUCAAUGGCAGAGCAGACGGCUGUUAACCGUCAGGUUGUUGGUUCGAGUCCAGCCGGGAGAGC